AUUGAACGCUGGCGGCAGGCCUAACACAUGCAAGUCGAGCGAGCGGCGGACGGGUGAGUAAUGUAUGGGGACUGCCCGAUAGAGGGGGAUAACUACUGGAAACGGUGGCUAAUACAGCAUACCAUCGGAUAACCCAGAUGGGAUUAGCUAGUAGGUAAGGUAAUGGAUUACCUAGGCGACGAUCCCUAGCUGGUCUGAGAGGAUGAUCAGCCACACUGGGACUGAGACACGGCCCAGACUCCGACGGAGGCAGCAGUGGGGAAUAGUGCACAAUGGGCGCAAGCCUGAUGCAGCCAUGCCGCGUGGAUGAAGAAGGCCCUAGGGUUGUAAAGUACUGUCAGUCGGGAGGCGUUACCGACAGAAGAAGCACCGGCUAACUCCGUGCCAGCAGCCGCGGUAAUAC
rnacentral:rRNA from 1 species